GAUAAACGCUAGCUACAGGCUUAACACAUGCAAGUCGAGGGGAAACGGCAUCGAAAGCUUGCUUUUGAUGGGCGUCGACCGGCGCACGGGUGAGUAACGCGUAUCCAACCUGCCCAUCACUUGGGAAUAACCUUGCGAAAGUAAGACUAAUGCCCAAUGACAUCCCACGAAGGCAUCCGAAUGGGAUUAAAGAUUUAUCGGUGAUGGAUGGGGAUGCGUCUGAUUAGCUUGUUGGCGGGGUGACGGCCCACCAAGGCAACGAUCAGUAGGGGUUCUGAGAGGAAGGUCCCCCACAUUGGAACUGAGACACGGUCCAAACUCCUACGGGAGGCAGCAGUGAGGAAUAUUGGUCAAUGGGCGAGAGCCUGAACCAGCCAAGUAGCGUGCAGGAUGACGGCCCUAUGGGUGGUAAACUGCUUUUAUAAGGGAAUAAAGUGGGUCACGUGUGACUUUUUGCAUGUACCUUAUGAAUAAGGACCGGCUAAUUCCGUG
rnacentral:rRNA from 1 species